rnacentral:rRNA from 1 species
GAUUUCUGGGGUGUCGGAUGGGCCCUGGCCUAACGGCUCAGGCUGCCCGAUUCCUGGCGCCCCAUCCGCGGGUGGAUUCCCCUUGGCAUUAGGUUGUUGGGGGGGGGAAGCCCGCCGUUUACUGUGAAAAAAUUAGAGUGUUCAAAGCAGGCUUAGGCCGUUGGAUACAUUAGCAUGGAAUAAUGAGAUAGGGCCUUGAUGGAUUUUCUAUUUUGUUGGUUUGCACGCCAAGGCAAUGAUUAACAGGGAUAGUUGGGGGUAUUCGUAUUCAAUUGUCAGAGGUGAAAUUCUUGGAUUUAUGGAAGACGAACUACUGCGAAAGCAUU